UUAGUUCAUAUAUUUUAUUGCAUUUAUAUUAAUGCAAUAAAAUAUAUGUAUAUUGUUUUCGGUUUGGGGGUACAUGUGAAGAACGUGAAAGAUUGUUGCAUAGGUACAUACAUGGCAAUGUGGUUUGCUGCCUUCCUCCCCAUCACCUAUAUCUGGCAUUUCUCCCCAUGUUAUCCUUCCCCAACUCCCCACCCACUGCUGUUCCUCCCCUAGUUCCCCCUGACAGACCCCAGUGUGUGAUGCUCCCCUCCCUGUGUUUAUGUGUUCUCAUUGUUCAACACUCACCUAUGAAUGAGAACAUGUGGUGUCUGAUUUUCUGUUCUUGUGUCAGUUUGCUGAGAAUGAUGGUUUCCAGAUUCAUCCAUGUCCCUACAAAGGACAUGAACUCAUCGUUUUUUAUGGCUGCAUAGUAUUCCAUGGUGUAUAUGUACCACAUUGUCCCUGUUCAGUCUAUCAUCGACGGGCAUUUGGGUUGGUUCCAAGUCUUUGUUAUUGUAAAAAGUGCUGCAAUGAACAUAUGUGUGCAUGUGUCCUUAUAAUAGAACAAUUUAUAAUCCAUUGGAUAUAUACCCAGUAAUGGGAUUGCUGGGUCAAAUGGAAUUUCUAUUUCUAGGUCCUUGAGGAAUUGCCACACUGUCUUCCACAAUGGUUAAACUAAUUUACACUCCCACCAACAGUGUAAAAGUGUUCCUAUUUCUCCAUAUCCUCUUCAGCAUCUGUUGUCUCCAGAUUUUUUAAUGGUUGACAUUUUAACUGGUGUGAGAUGGUAUCUCAAUGUAGUUUUGAUUUGCAUUUCUCUAAUGACCAGUGAUGAUGAGCAUUUUUACAUGUUUGUUGACCUCAUACAUGUCUUCUUUUGUAAAGUGUCUGUUCAUAUCCUUCACCCACUUUUGAAAGGGCUUGUUUUUUUCUUGUAAAUCUGUUCUUUGUAGAUUCUGGAUAUUAGCCCUUUGUCAAAUGGGUAGAUUGCAAAAAUGUUUUCCCAUUCUGUUGGUUGCUGGUUCACUCUAAUGAUUGUUUCUUUUGCUGUGCAGAAGCUCUGGAGUUUAAUUAGAUCCCAUUUGUCUAUUUUGGUUUUUGUUGCGAAUGCUUUUGGUGUUUUAGUCAUGAAGCUCUUGCCUAUGCCUCUGUCCUGAAUGGUUUUGCCUAGAUUUUCUUCUAGGGUUUAUAUGGUGUUAGGUCUUAUGUUUAAGUCUUUAAUCCAUCUGGAGUUAAUUUUAGUGUAAGGUGUCAGGAAGGGGUCCAGUUUCUGCUUUCUACAAAAUUUACGAAAGCCUCUCUCCAGGAGGACACACAUACAAUUUGUGUUUCAUAUCGGGCAACUGUGGACAGCUUGAGUGCAGUUACACUGAGCACCUUAGGUUCAUAACUCCUAUAAGAAAAGAUCAGCAGUGGAAAAGAAGUGAGAAGACUUUGUUUCUCAUCUCUCCCUCUGAAAACUGUGUGGAAUUGGUCACGUCCUACUAGAUUUAUCUCAUUGUUCUUUGUUUCGAAUCCCCCACCUUCUUUAUACCAAAUUUUCUAGAUUUCUGUGUGAUUCUCCUUUAAAAAGAAGACUUCUUUCAUAAGAAGCCUUAGACUAAUUAUCUGUUUACAGUUUGGUUUUUUUAAUUGAAACUUUCUCUUAAUUUCCUCCCGCUCUUUGGGAAUUGAUUUCCCCCGACACACUUUAAGAAACAUGCUCUUUUUGGCCCCUGGGGGCUCCCAUUUGAACAACUACUUUUUUCCUGUCGUUGAACUGAUUCAAUGUGAGGCCCAUGUCCCUCUUUCCUUGGCUAUUAGUAUAGUUUCUUAACUCAAAUCUGAAUAGAAUUUUCUUGAAAUGAAACCCCAAUAACCAGCAUCUAAGUUCCCAGGCUUUUAAAUAAACAACAGAGUAUUAAUUACAGAGACUCUUUAUUUUCACCCUCUGAUACUCUCAGGAUCCCAUGUGAGAGAUUCAGGAGCUGGCAUGGAACUAGCUCAUACUUCCUCUCCCGAGAUCAGCGCGUUCAGACUUCACUGGCUGCUGGUACCAGGGUGAAUAGACUUUGAAGCCUCACAUUUGGGAAUGUUACUCUGACCCUCUCACUGCACUACUCCCCACUUGGACCCUCUUCAUUCUGGGGCUCCUCCCAGAUCUCCCCUUCAGGAUGAGGCACUCCUUUCCCUAAGUGCUAGGAAUGCUGCCUAGUGAUGGUCCUCAGAUGAGUCCUUCCCCCACGAAUUGCUCUUGACUGAAGAGAGCCUCCUCACUAACGGUUAGGACCCUUACCAAGGGGCAGACCAUGUCCAAUGACAGGUCAUUGCGGAACCCUUGCUUCAGUUCAGGGUAACCUGGAGGAGAUGUCUGAGCUCUAGAGCUCCUUGUGCGGUGAGUCGAGGCUGCUGUUGUGACUGCAUAGCAGCCCCACUCCUUCCUCUGCCCAGUCCAGCUUCCCAUCCUCUCUCCUUAUGCUGUCCCAAGAGCCAUCUGCAACAAUCCACCUGCAGCCAAUUUAUCUCAGAGUCUGUUUGCUAGGGAACCAGGGCUCUAAAAUGCUCAGGCGUUGAGGCAUUCUAGAAAACUGUGCUCUUAGGAGAGCUAACGUUGCAAUGUGCAUCAGUUGUUUUUCCCAGCCCAGCAUCCUUUGACCCUUCUUGUAACAAGCAGCUUCCGGAUUUUCCUUUAGAUAGCCACACCUCCUACCUCUGGGCUCUUGAUGCAAUAGGGUUGAGCCCAACCCUUCCCAACCACCUACCUCACCCAGGCCUGCCACAUCACCCCAGCCACAGUAAUUGGUUCAGGGAUGGCACGUGACCUCAGCUGGGCCAGUGACAGCCCUUUCUGGGACUUGUGCUGAAACCCUGGAGACAAAUGAGCCCUUUGUGUCUCAGAGUUGCCGAACUGACUGAAUGAACUAUCUUGCAUUUUCUGCACAUGUACCCCAAAACCUAAAAUGCAAUAAAUAAAAAAAAAAUUUCGGACUGAGCAUGGUGGCUCACGCCUAUAAUCCCAGCACUUUGGGAAGUCGAGUCAGAAGGAUCACUCGAGGCCAGAUGUCUGAGGCACAUUGACUAGGGAAGGAGAAAUUUGCUUCCCGAUUCCCCUUUCUCUGUACAGCAAAAACAGAUAUAGAAGAGUGGAAAAUGUCCCUGAGAAAGGAGGAUGUCUGACAGCUCCAGGUAGUAAAACCUCCUCAAUUAGUAUGAAAGUAGCACUCAUUAUUUUUGCACAAAGAGAAAUGCUUUCGCCAAUCCCUGCAGCUCCUCUUUAUCACUUUCGAGUGUGUUUAUUUUGACGGCCUUUAUUUAUACUUUUUUUUCAUUCGUACAUCAGAAAUAUGGCCCCAUCUGGAGACGGUGCACAACUUGAUGCUUUUCAUGACCCUUCCAAUCAGGAGUAACUACAGCUGUCGGGGGAGCACUGAAGAAAUGUCAAUUAGCUAUAAAAGUUCCACAAACAAGCAUUAUGUCUUCCUCUUAUGAGUCCCAGUGCAGCUCAAAAUUGAGCAAUAAUGUCCACAGUUAAAAAUGGCUGUUGGGGGCCCGAGCACUCUCUUUUCCCAUUAAUAAUUGCUCAGCACCAGAGCUGGAGUCACCGCGUGUGGAUGGUGGAGCCCAGGUCGCUGAGGGUAUUUGCGUUAGAAACAGUGACAGCACACAUCAUGUUUCUGAGUGGAGAAUGGCACUGCAUCCCUCCAUGUUCACACCAAUGGCUGAACCCAUCCCUCUGGGCUCAGGAUUUGAGCCACCUUGCACGGUCCUCCUACCUCUGGGUUCCUCUUCUCCGGUUAUCUGCACCCUGGCUGUUUGCGUCUGAAAAUCACAUCAGGAUGGCCCUGGGCUUGGGGAGGAAUUGGAGAGCAGUCUGCCUUCUGGUGUCACUCUUUGGGAUGGUCCAGGACCUUUAUUUGCAUGUGGCCUUUAUUUACAGACAAGUGCUCUGCCCUCCAGGUGAAAAGGCAAAGAAAGUCUUUAUUCUGCAAGUGAAACCAAGCACCUGCGGCCAGUGGAGGUGAUUUGCCUUGACAUGUGAAACGUAAUGAAGCCUUAUUUACAAACGCAGCUGGGCCAAGGGCUGUAAUUUGCCAAUUUUUAAAAUUUUAUUUCUAGCUUUAUUGAGGUUUAAUUGACAAAUAAAAAUGAUAUACAUUCGAGGUGUAUAAUAUGAUAUUUUGAUACAUAUAUAUAUAUAUAUACAGUGAAAUUAUCAUUCUUAAGGACAAUUAACAUACCCGUCACCUCACAGUUACUGUUUGUGUGUGUGUGUGUGGUGAGAAUAUUUAAGAUCUACUCCUAGCAAGUUUCAAGUACACAAUAUAUUAUCAUUAAUGAUAGUCACCAAGCUGUAUGUUAGGUCUUAUAACUGCAAGUUUGUUGGGGGCUGCGGGAAAUCAGGAACUGUUGGUCAAAGGGUACGAAUUUGCAAUUCAUUAUUUUUUUAAAUGCUGCAUUAAAGUAUUAAUUAUCAUUAUAAUCAACGUUUUUGUGCCCCUUAAAUCUUAUGCCUGAGGCUAGUGCCUCACCCCCCUCACCCUAGUCCUAGUUCUGCCUUCACCAGAAAGGACGUGGGCGUGGUCCUUCCGCAAGGUCUCAGCUGUGUGUUCCAAGAACUCUCAUAUUUAGUAGAGGCGGGUAAGAGAGUUUCAGCCAUGCCUUGUGUGGAGAUGGCGUCUGGAAAAAGCACACAUACAGUCCUUGGUUCCAAUUCUUGUGCCGCAACCAUGUGACCUUCAGCAAGUCAUCUGACAUCUCUGAGCGUAGGGCUUCUCAUCUACCAAGCGGACAUCAUAGUAUCAACCUCAGAGUAUGGCCGUGAAGAUUAAAUACAGUAAACGAUGUCAGGUGGCCUGCAUUCAAUUAGUGACACUGGACAAAUGUUUAUGGAGUGAAUAAUCAAUGCACAAAAUGUUGAUUUGAAGGACAGGAGGAUUUUUAUCAGAUUGCUUUCUGAUCAGCUGGACCUUCUUCUUUUUUUUUUUUUUUUUUGUCUUCUUACUUUCUAUAUCAAGUCAUGGUGAUGUCUAUACAUGUUUAUGUUUUGUGCUAGACCUGAGGGCAUGUAUGCAUAGGAAGCAUCUCGUAUUUGUUGUAUGAAUAGAAAGAGAGCUUUUUUUUUUUUCUGAGAUGGAGUCUCACUCUGUCUCUGAGGCUGGAAUGCAGUGGUGCGAUCUUGGCUCACUGCAACCUCCACUUCUCAGGUUCAAGCCAUUCUCCUGCCUCAGCCUCCCAAGUAGCUGGGAUUACAGGUGCCUGCCACCGAACCUGGCUAAUUUUUCUAUUUUUAGUAGAGAUGGGUUUUCACCAUGUUGGCCAGGCUGGUCUCAAACUCCUGACCUCAGGUGAUCCACCUGCCUCUGCAUCCCAAAGUACUGGGAUUACAGGCAUGAGCCACUGUGCCCGGCCAAAGAGAGCUUAUAAAUGAGCAAUGAUAUGAAUGAAUAUGGAAUCAGGCAAUGCGGUCAAAUCCCCACUGUGUAGGUGACCUGAGUCAUUUUCACUAUUGCCUACAAGGUUCUUAGGGGGCUUAGACACAAAGAAGGUAAGUUCAGGGCUGGGCACUGUGGCUCACGCCUAUAAUCCCAGCACUUUGGGAGGCCGAGGUGAGUGGAUCACGAGGUCAAGAGAUCGAGACCAUCCUGGUCAACAUGGUGAAACCCCGUCUCUACUAAAAAUACAAAAAAUUAGCUGGGCAUGGUGGCGCACGCCUGUAGUCCCAGCUACUCAGGAGGCUGAGGUAGGAGAACUGCUUGAACCCAGGAGGCAGAGGUUGCAGUGAGCUGAGAUUGCGCCAUUGCACUCCAGCCUGGGUAACAAGAGCGAAACUCCAUCUCAAAAAAAAAAAAAAAGAAGGUAAGUUCAAGAGCCUUAAAAGCUACAGUGACCCCAGUGAUUCUUAAGUAGAGUCACAUACAAAAAUCAUUGUGUGAGUUCUUCAAUGGACCCUCGCUCCAUUGAAGCAGAGCCUGGGUCCCUUGCUCUUCAGUGGGUUGGGAAUUGGAAGCAGCAAGGAGAAGAGAACUCAGAGCUUUUGCUGUGCUUCCAGGGGUGGUCCAUGGAUGCUGAGUUAAUUUAUAACUGUUCUAAAGUCAGAAAGUUCUGAGUCAUAAAGGAAAGACCAUGUCGGGGCUUUUCUGGAAAAAAGAUGUGAAGUGACAAGAUUAUAAGAUGAGCGACCAUGUAAUUUAUCAUUCAAACUGGCAUAAUUCUGAGAGUGAAAGAAGCUGCUGUUAAUAAUUACACUGGAGUAAAUGAUGCCAAUUCAGUCUGUUCUGGGCAAAGCAAGGCAUACAGUUAUCCUACUUCUAAAGCAACCCUGCAAAGAACCUCCUGCUCAGUGUUGGAAAGGACAAUGCCAUUUGUGCCACCGCCUGGUGGACAGCGCUGGCUUCUUUUGCAAAGAGGGCAGCCUCAUGCCUGCCCUCUGCAGCCAUUGCUGUAUCUGGGUCUGCUGUUUGGUGAUAGAACAGUUGUGCCUUCCUUUGCCUGCUGUGCCCUCUUUAUAGCCAGUAGUUUAACGUAUCUAAGAGCUGUGUCACCAUCCACGGCCACCAGCUGGCUCUGCUGUCACAUCUGGGUUCUCAUUUGAGUGAUGUCUCACAGAAGCCUGAAAAAUGGAAUCACAAGUGGAGAAGCCAGCAAAGGCAGAAUGCCAGAGGUGAGCAGUGUGGGCUGCUGAAUUGUCUUUUAGAUAAAUGCCUGAUGUUAGCACGGGAAAGAAUUGCAGAUAAUCAUUUAUUCUAAUAUCUCACUUAAUAUCCUCUCCCGCCACCUCAAUUUACUGUUGAGGAGAUAAAAUCAAAAGAGUAAUGUGCUCAAGUUUAUUAGUUCCUUCAAAUUUAUGUUUCUAGCCCACACUUUCUCCCUGGAUUCCAGAAUAUGCCACCAUCUCCUCGAUGUCUCGCUGGUGGAAAUAUCAAACUCAGGAUUUCCAAACAUGGCCUUGUGAUCUCUUCCCAAGCUGGGUCCACCCCUGUCCUUCUCACCUCGGCCAAGCCCUCUCUCUGUUGCUCAGGCCGAAACUCUUGGAGUUAACCUUGACUCUUGACAACUUCUCCUUCUUUCUCAUAACACACCUAAUCUAUUAGAAAAGACUAUUCCGAAUAUAUCCAGAGUCUGAUGCCUUUCACCACCCCCGUUGCUACCCCUGGCCCAAGCCACCACCUCUCACCUGGGUGGUCACAUUUGCCUGCUAACUGCUUCCACUCAGAACUUCCUACAGUUCUUUGUAUUUUUACUGAAUUGGAUGGCCGGAUGGGUCCUUUUAAAGCCUAAGUUAGGUUGUGUCACUCUUCUGCUCAAAGAAAAGCUAAAAUUCUGGGGUUUUUUCCCCCAUCUCUACUAAAAAUACAAAAAUUAGCCAACUGUGGUAGCUUGUGCCUGUAAUCCCAGCUACUCAGGAGGCUGAGGCAUGAGAAUCACCUAAACCCAGGAGGUGGAGGUUGCAGUGAGCCAAGAUCACACCACUGCACUCCAGCCUGGGUGACAGAGUGACUCCAACUCAAAAAAAAAAAAAAGGAAAAACGAAAAGCUGAAAUUCUUACUCUGUCCUACAAAUUCUACACAAACAACAUCCAACACCAUUACCGGUUCUGUUUUUACCUUGUAACAGGUGCUGCCUGUUCACAUGGCUACAGCCACUGUGGCCUCUUUGCUGUUCUUCAGAUAAAUCAGGCAUACCCCUCACCCCCGGACCUUUGCACCAACUGUGUCUUGAUCCUAGGACACUUUUUCCCCAGCUCCACUUGCUUAAAUUCCUCUAUGGCUACAAGACUUUGCUCAAAUGCAAGCUUCUAUUAAAACUGCUGUUCCUCAUUCUCUUUUCCUGUUUUAUUAUUCUGUAUAACAUUUGUUAUCUUCUCAAGUACCCUAUAAUUUAUUUAUUGUUUCCUAUGUAUUCUCUGAUUCCUUUGAGUGGAAAUUAAGAUCUCUGGAGGAAGGAAUUUGUGUGUUUUGUUUCCUGCUGUGAAAUCAGAGCGAGUAGCUGGAGCAAAGUAGGAAUUUGAGAAACAUUUGCUGAAUGAAUUAAUUCAGCAGCUAUUUACCCAAUGUCUUCCAGGUAUCAGACGCAUACUGGAGGUAUCAAGAUGGUUACAGCAAAAUCCUUCCUCUUAAGUGAGCCUGAGUCAGUGGGAUGGAGGCAAAGACAACCCUAAGGCAGUGUAAUCAUGAUAUACAACGGUGCUAAGGACCAGAGUCCCUGGCGUUAUUGUUCUACCGCAUGGGGGAGUGGAAUGAAAGCAAGUGACGUUUGCCCAGAGCAAGGGGUGCUGGUGCUGGAUCUUGACAAGCUGCCUGGAAUUUUACCUGGCAGUAGAGCAGGGUGACAGAACUGUCCCUCAUGUCUCAGUGGGUUUUCACUCUGCAUACUGAUUCAGAAAGCAGGCUUGGUCCCAGGGAAAAAAUGGAUAAGAAUUUCUUUUUGUGAUAACUGUGUUGUCCAGACAGCACUUCUUAACAGCAGAAGGAUGGCCUGAUGGCAUCCCAGGGCAUUCAAGUCACCAAAGUGAUCCAGUCUGCUGACCUCCUGGUGAAAUCUAAAGCGGUUUUCCUUUAAAGUAACCUGGGCAGGUGACCUCAUGGCACUACAGCUACCACACUGAGCAUCAUCCACCGGAAUCAGACAAUUCCAAUUUCCCCUGGACUGUCAGGAAGUCCUGAUUUUAAAAAUGGCUUUUGGUUUGUGAUUUCUUAGAAUAAUCUCGUUUAAGUCAAGGAGUUGUUUGCAGUGGAAUUCAGCUGUUUUUGCUGAGUUCAUUUGCCUCUGGGGAGUAAAAGGAUCACCAGACAUUUGUAAACUACUUCUGCAACAUAACAAAAGGAGAAAGCAGGCAUUGGGCAGGUGCUGCUUUCUGGCUUGGGAGCCUCUAGGACCAUAGGAUUGUUCUAAAUUCCAUGAUUACCUGCCCAGGUAGGUCUGACAGUUCUGGUGGUAGUGAGAGUGUACUGGUUAGCUAUUUGUGUGCGACAAAGUCUCUCUACACUUAGCAGCCUAAAACAACAACAGUUUGUCAUAUUCCACAAUUCUUCGAGUUGUCUAGGCCGAUCCUCUGACAGUUCUGUUUGUGCCCACUCAUGGGACUGCAUCCAGCUGGAGAGUCAGCAAGGCUGCAAGGUCCAACAUGGCCUUCCUCACCUUUCUGCCAGUUGGUGCUUUUAGCUAGGACACCCUGAUGCUCCUUUAUGUGGUAGUCUUCCAACAGAACAGCUUUCUUACAAUGAGGUCCUAGGAGGCUCAAAGGGGAUGAUAGAGGAAGUGGUAAGGCCCCCUUGAGGACUAGACAUGGAGCAAAGAUAGUUUCGCUGCUUCUACAUUCCAGUGGGCAAACUGAGUCACAAAUCCUGCCAAACUCAAAAGUCAGAAUAGAUUGAACUUUCUGAAGGGAGGAGCUAGCUGCAAAACUCUGUGGCCAUAUUCAACCUACCACAAUUUUCCAUUUGACUACAGUUAUUAAUAGUUCUCCCAGAUACAGAAUAAAUUUACCCCUCCCAAGAUCUUCAAAAAUCUCACCAGUUAUAUCAUAAGGCUCAGAAUCCUGGAGCUUGUGAUCUUCAUCUGUCUUGGAUACAGAAAAAGCCUCUUGGGUACAGCAGAUACUCUUGAUCCAGAAACUUGAGAAUUUAAAGCACCAUGGGACAGGGACUAGAUGAUGGAAUAGUCACUCUGAUUCAAAAAAGAAGAGCCAGAGGCACUAGCAGUCACUGGCACAUAGUAAUUCUGAAAUCUGGCCAGGCACAGGCACAUGUCAUCAGAGCUCUCUACCCAAGUCAGGGAAUAUUCUUUUACUAGGGCCUGGCUCUGCUCUCUGGGAAUAGUUUCCUAAUCAUCUGUUUUCCUUGGCCCUUAAAUUCACCUUCUAGGUUCUUGGCUAUACUCUUUGAAUUUCUUUUUCCUUCCAUAAAAGAGGGUUCAUGUUUGCAGCUUUCUUAGCCUGCUUUCUAACUGUAAACUUUGUGUUUUUAACUGUGUCUGUUUUCUUUAGUCUGAGCUGCUACAGCUCCUUUAAAAAUGUUUUGGGUUUUCUGCAUAUCACAUUAUACUCCAUUAAACAAAAACCAUAUUCACAACUAUGUUUGAAAUAGAUUUCUUGCUACUUGGAUGGGAAAUUUCAGGGUGCUGUAGGACAAAGCCCUUAAGAUUGUUGUCUAGCUGAGAAGGUCUAUUAGACAAUAUAUUAAUUUUUCAGAGGGUCCUACACUUACAUUCUUGAUUUGAUCGUGAUUUGGAAGCCAUUUUCAUUUUUCCCUUGAGAAUCUUUUGCCUGUUGAAAAGACGAGAAGUAUUACAAAGAAGACCAGCUUUAUUUAGAAACUCAGUAUGUAUCAGAUCCUCUGUACUUUCUGCUUACAAAUAGAAGUGACUUUAGUACAUCUCUCUCUUCUCAUUCCUUAUCAUACUCAGCUAGAAAAAGCCAGUAACCAUUGUUAGCAUUCUGCCUCAUCAUCUCCUUAGGGAUACCCACACAUUCAUUAGUACAUUUCCUGUCUUUCAGAUUACUUCAGGCAAAAGUUUUGCCAAUUAUUCCUUAAUUGUAACUUGGUUUGCCCUUCUCCCAGCCUCUACUAGCAGUUUUCUCAAUACUAAUAGCUGCCUUAAUUCUCUAUCAGCCUCUGCCCAUUGCCCAGUCCCAAAGCCAAUGCCGUAUUAAUAGAGACUUUUUAAAAAAAUUUUUUGAAUAGCAGCACCCACUUCUAGGUACCAAUUUCUGUAUCAGUUAACUAUGCAGUAUUAGCAAAACAUUUCAGAACUUGAUGUCUUAAGAAAACAGUGACUCACUAUUUUAACAUUCUAUAGAGUGAUUCUUCUGCUGGUCUCACCUGGGAUUGCUCAUGUCGCUGCAUUCAGCUGGAAGGGUGACUGGGCUCAGCUAUGUUGACUGGAUCUUCCUCUCCAUGUUGUCUUUCAUUCCAGUUUCUUCACAUCCUGGAGUCUUCCUGGCCUGAUGGUCUUGGGGGAGCAUUCCCAGAGGUCAAGCCCAAAUUCCUAAGCACAAAUCAAACCUCUGCUUAUACCCAGUUAACUUGGCCAGAGCAAGACUCACGGACAAGUCCUGAGUCAGUGUGGGAGAGAACUGCACAGAGGUAUGAAUACUGAGAGGUGUUUCAUUGGGCUAUGACUGUUUGCAAAGAAGGAUAAAAGAGAUCACCAACCAGAUCUUUCUAAUCCAGGUCUCCUGUCCUCUCCUCUACCUGCUGACCUCUCUGGAGUCCUAACCUGCAGUUUCUGUGUGUGCUUUUGACUGUGGGUGCUAGAAAGGGUACCCAGGCAGCACCUAGGCCAACAUGCACAUCCUUAGCCCAUUGCCCUUAGUGAAGUUUUUGGGAGGCCAGGCUCUGCUUCCAGCUCUAAUUCUGAUCUUGAAUAUCCAGAUCAGAAUAUGCCCUUUUCUUCUCUAUAUAAUAUUCUUUGCACCACAAAAAGAAACUCCCUUUGGAGCUUGCCUCAGACAUGUAAGAACCCUGCAUCUAACACGACAAAAUUUCUCAAUGUUUAUGUUUAGUUGUUAUCUACAAGAGAGAAAGUCUCCUGUUUGUCGCAGUCAUCAUUAAAAUGGUCUCUAAUAACUCAGUCUCCUGGUAUUCAUACCCUCGUGUCAUCCUCUUCUCUGCGUGUGGGUGGGACUUGCUGAUAGGUCUAACCAAUAGAAUAUUGCAGGUGUGGUGUGAUGUCACUUCUGACAUUGGGUUAUAAAGGAGCUGUGGCUUUAGUCUGGGUGUGCUCUCACACUCUCACUUGGGUUGCUUACUCUGAGAAUCCAGCUGUCAAGCUGUCAUGCUGUGAUGCAGCCCUGUGGAAAGGCCCACAUCUGUGAGCCUGGAGGCUGAUCUUCUGAGGACUGCCCACAGCCAUGAAAGAGUGGGUGAGCUCAGAAGCUGGCCUUCCCCAAGCCAAGCCUUGAGACGACUGCAGUCCUGCCUGACACUUUGAUUGCAGUCUUGUGAGAGACUCUGAUCCAGCACCACCCAGCCAAGAUGCUCCUUCAUUCCUGACCCUCAGGAACAGUGAAGUUAUACAUUUGUUGUUUCUAGCUUCUAUGUUUUGGGGUAUGUAUUUGUUACAUAGCAAUAGAUAACUGACACAUAUUUUGGGGUCACAGACUGAUAUGGUUUGGAUCUGUGUCCCCACUCAAAUCUCAUGUCUGGUGUAGUUCCCAGUGUUAGAGUUAGGACCUGGUAGGAGGUAAUUAGAUCUGGGGGCGGUUUCUAAUGGCUUAACACCAUCCCCCUUGGAGCAGUCAUCAUGAUGGUGAAUUCUCAUGGGAUCUGGUUGUUUAAAAGUGUAUAAUACCUCCCCACCUCUCUUUCUCCUGCUCCAGCCAUGUAAGAUGUGCCUGCUUCCCCUUGGCCACCUGCAAUGAUUAUAACUUUCCUGAGGCCUCCCAAGCCAUGGUUCCUGUACAGCCUGCAGAACUGUGGGAGGACUGAUUGCCUCUGCCUCGCCAGCGUGAUUAUUGCAGCACAUACGGUUCAGAGCUGCCGAGAAAAGUAAUGGAUCUGCCCGAAUUAGCGCCUGACUUGGGAUUUUCUUGCCCAUGUGACCAAGAAUUGGUCAAAGUCACAGACAUCUUUAGCAGCAACUCUUGGGAAGAAUGUGAUUGACUUGUCAGGAUUCUUGGUAAGUGCAUUUCAUUUAGUUUUUGCUAAAAAUGGACUCCAGUGGUCAAUGGAUUUACCACAUUGAAAUGACCCUGAAUAACACCUUCCUUGUAGAUGUAUUUGUACUUCUAUGCCAACACGGCUCUGGCAGUAUCACAGUGAAGGGUGACUGCUUUGUGUGUAUUUUCUUUGAAAGCUAGAGGUCAGGUAACCACUGCCAGAAUCCUGACACUGUUAUCUGCUUGCAGAAGAACUAGUUGGGCCUGGGGGGAGACACAUUUUGGGAGCUGUGAUACAGCGAAAGCACUGGCCUAAGGUGCCUGAGAAGUUGUGGCUAAAAUUGGAGAAGGUAGAAGAGUGAUUAAAUAAAUAAAUAAAUAAAAGCCGAUCAGUGCUAGAGAUAGACAUUGUUUUGUACUCAGAAAGACCUGAAUGGAAAUCCUGGCUCAUAUACUUUAGAUGUGUAGCUUCAGACAAAUUACUUAACCCCUCUAAAGCUCAUUUCUUAAUCAUCUGCAUAAUUGGACCUCCAUUGCACCUAGGUUAUAGAAGAACUGGCUUUGUUUUGUUUUGUUUUGAAGAGAGAAUCUCACUGUUCUGUCACCUAGGCUGGAGUGCGGUGGCACGAUCUUGGCUUGCUGCAGCCUCCACCUCCUGGGUUCAAGACAUUUUCAUGCCUGAGCCUCCCGAGUAGCUAAGAUUAUAGGCGUGCAUAACCACACCCAGCUAAUUUUUGUAAUUUUAGUAGAGAUAGGGUUUCGCCAUGUUGGCCAGACUGGUCUCCAACUCUUGGCCUCAAAUGAUCUGCCUACCUCAGCCUCCCAAAGUGCUGGGAUUACAAGCGUCAGCCACUGUGCCUGGCAUGCUGUGAUUUCUAUAAUGAAAUGAUGGAUACAUAGGACUUGAUGUAAGUUUUGGCACAAAAUAGACAUUUACUGAUGAUGUUUGUUUUAGUGAAUAGCUUAAGUACAAAUAAUUUUUGCUUACAUUAGGUAAGCGGGAAGAUCAGGAGAUUGUAUAAACACAGUUAGCGUGUCAAUGUAUAUCAGUGUACACUGAAUUCUAACAAACUGCCUACUCACUAAUGUCUUGUUUUGUGCCUAUAAUUGGGGAAAAGAAGACAAGACCUAUAUCAUGAAAGCUACAUUUUCUUGUAGUAAUUGUGCCUUUCACAAAAUUUUUCUUUUUCUUUUUUGUUUUUUUUGAGACAGAGUCUCACUCCAUUGCCCAGGCAGGAGUGCAGUGCUGCAAUCUCAGUUCACUGAAACCUUCAUCUCCUAGGUUCAAGUUAUUCCCCUGCCUCAACCUCCCAAGUAGCUGGGACUACAGGCAUGUGUCACCACACCCAGCUAAUUUUUGUAUUUUUAGUAGAGACGGGGUUUCACCAUAUUGGCCAAGCUGUUCUCACACUCCAGACCUCUUGAUCCACCCACCUCAGCCUUCCAAAGUGCUGGGAUUACAGGCAUGAGCCACCGCAUUCGGCCUCACAAUCUUUUCAAUGAUGACAGCACAAAAUAUGGAGCCCAUGACUCUGAAUUUUUGUAUUUUGGUUGGGCUCUGCAGCCUUUAGACUUACAGACAAAUAGUUAAUGUUUAGGCAAGAAUUGCUUGGCCAGGUUAGGCUCUGAUGGUUUCAGGUCCACUCAAAUUCAUUCUCUUCAAUCGGCCUUAUCUUCUAGGUGUUAAAACCAAUACUCUGAGUAUGAGUUGUGCAGUUGGAAUAAAGAACCUCCCUCAACACAAUGCAAGGUCUCUUUCUUCUACACUAACUUGCUGAUGAUUGUAAGUGAAGAGAUAAAAGUAAAUGCACUCGUGUAUCUAUCACUAGUUAAUGAAUUAUAAAUAAUCCCUCUAGGUAGACAGAUUGUCAUUUCUGUGGCUAAAUUUGGAGGGAGUCAGCUAGAAAUUUAGGAUAAAAAUCACAAUUUCUUGAGCCCUGUAGAAUUUUUAUGGAGGCUUUUGUUUGUUUUUGUCACUUGAGUUAUCUGAAAGUCAAUCUUGUUUGGCUUUUAACUAAACGAUACCUUCCCGUAAACCCACGUCGCUCAGUUACAUGCAUUUUUGAAAACUGAAACUCAUAGAGGACACGUUACUGGUUCCAGUGCUUUGGCUAAUGAGGACAUGCCCUGAGAGGAGCUGGGGUUAAUGGUGGUGUUUCUGGGCUAGGGCUGUGUCAUCUUUUUUCCUGUCCAAGCGUGUAGAGUCAUGACAGCUAUGAAGGACGAUUAUGACUUUAAGCAAAGACAUUCCUGGGAGAGCCACCCCUCUAAAAAUGGAAAUAAGUAGGCAGGGCAAGAAUCUCUAAAAGGCUUCUGAUUUUCUCACCCCAGCCAUGCUUAUUCCAGUAGUUAAAGGUCCUAGAAAAAUUACACCUUCGUCUUUCUUCUCACUUAUCAACUGUCUGAGCAUGUUUCUGAUUGAGUACUUGCAGAAUUUGAAAAUGCUGAGUCGGCUGGGCUGCUAAGAAUGGGAAGAGAAGUAAAAUAAACCUUGACAAAAUUGACCCUGACCCCUGCUGAUGAAAAAUACAGCCCAAUGUGGCCACAGCACAGGUUCGAAGGGUGGUUCUUCUGUGAACUAGCUGUCAUUUACCAGACGUAAAAAACACUGUCGGUCCACAGCUGAAUCUGGCCAACAGAGAUCUCCAGUUUAGCUAGGAAGAGUGUGGGAUUGUAUUUUUUAUUGCAGGAAGCCCUCUUUAGUUCACCACCGGUUCUUGUCUUCACUGUGGCCUCGACAUUCCCUUCCAGCUUGAUCUGUGUCUGUCACCUGACUCUCCCUGGAGCUAUGUAAGUCUAUAACCACCUUCAGCCUCAUUUUCCUCAACUGCCAAAUGUGAACCAAGCCUGUUUCCCAGGGUUGUUGUGAGAGUCUCCUGUGACAGUGUGGAUGACAUGGCCAGAAGUGGCUGGGACUUCAUGAGCUCAGUGCGCUUCUUUCUUUCUUCUUUUCCUUUUUCUUGCUUUCCCUUUUCUCUUGCCCCUUUUCUCAUUCUUGUUUUCCUCUUCUUUGUGGUGUUUGCAUAGUUAUUUGAUCUCGUUGCUAGACUUUGAGCAAGUUUUUUUUUUUUAGUCCAUGGAAGCUCUGGGUUAUUCUUGUUGGUCCUGAAGUGAGAGUCGUACUAAAUAUGUCCUCUGCUUCUCCACAAUUAUCUAAAAGGCACAAAAGUGAUUAAACACUGAGUCAGUCAUGCCCUGAGUUAAGUCUAGAUUUGACCCUGAUCCACAUUAAUUCGGAAGAUGGUUGAAGAUGAUGACCCUGCAUGCAUUUUGCUUGGGGGAUCUUAAAGUUAGUGAAAUUAAACUGCCCCACUGUGAUGGUUAAUACCGAGUGUCAACUUGGUUGGGUUGAAGGAUGUAAAGUAUUGAUCCUGGGUGUGUCUGUGAGGGUGUUGCCAAAGGAGGUUAGCAUUUGAGUCAGUGGGGCUGGGAGAGGCAGACCCACCCUUUAAUUUGGGUGGGCUCCAUCUAAUCAGCUGCCAGUGAAGCUAGAAUACAAAGCAGGCAGAAAAAUGCGGACAGAAAAAAAAAGAAAAGGACUGGCCUAGUCUCCUAGCCUACAUCUUUCUCCCUUGCUGGAUGCUUCCUGCCCUUGAACAUUGGAUUCCAAGUUCUUCAGUUCUGGGACUGGCUCUCCUUGCACCUCAGCUUAUAGACCCCCUAUUGUGGGACCUUGUGAUCAUGCAAAUUUAUACUUAAUAAACUCUAUCUAUCUAUCUAUCUAUCUAUCUAUCUAUCUAUCUAUCUAUCUAUCUAUCCAUACAUGUAUAUAUAUAGAGAGAGAGUUUAUUAAGUAUAAACUUGCAUUAUAUAUAGAGAGAGUUUAUUUUAUAUAUAUAUAUGCAAUGAAUAUAUUAUUGAGUAGCAAUGCUGACCUUGGCAUUGUAAAAAAGAGGCAAGAAGACACAGCUGUAGUAUUCACAUGCCCUGGAAGGAGGGAAGGAGAGCCUUCUUUGAGAGCUGGGUGUAACACCUGAUUUGGAUACCUACUAGCUGUGACCUUGGAAAUGCUCUUUAAUUUUCUUAAGCAUUACUUCUCUCAUUUGCAUGGUAAAGAGAAUUAUUUCUGAAUUUCCACUGUUAAAACAUGAGCUCUGAAUGAAGAAACCCCCAAACAGGCUUUGUGUGAGCAACAUGGCUGUUUAUUCACCUGAGUGCAGGCGGGCUGAGGCAGAAAAGGGCGUCAGUCAAUGGCAGUGGGAUAGGAGUUGGUUUUGUAGGUUUGGGGUGGGCAGUGGAAAAUUACAGUUUAGGGUGGUGUUUUGCAAGCUGGGAGGGGGUCGUAGGUUUGCAAGCUGGGAAGGGGUCAUAGGGUGUGGAGUCAUGAGGUUGACCCUGUCGGUUACAAAGUCCAAUAGCUUUAUUAAUUGCGGUGGGAAUAAGGAGCAAUAGAGAACUUAAAGUUAAGUAGGCGGCUGCAGGGGUUGAUAAUUUCUUCCUCUUUUCAUGGUCUUCCAGUUACUUUAGAUUUUCCAGGAACUCAUCUGGACUCUCGGUGCAGGUCACAGAGGUUAACAUGGUGUCCAUAGGGCUGUCUGGCAGCCCAGAAGACCUUACAUUCACUUCAAAAGUUUAUUUUGAAUUUCCAAAUAUAGAAGGUUUAGUCCAACAACAGUGUUUAAUAUGCACCUUCUAUGUGCAGGGUAUAUUAUGCCUGGCACCAGAGACUCAAAGAUGAAUACAGCAAGAGCAUGCUACAUAUGCUAAAUGAUGAACUAUCGCAUUUACGUAAAAGAAUACAUCAUUGUUAUUAUAACCCAAAGGGCUGUCCCCUUCUCCCUGGAAAUACAUCUGUUAUCUCCUCUGUCACCCAUGCAGCUCAGAGCUCUAGGAUUUAUUUCUCUCACUAGUUACAACAGCACAUAGUACAUUAUACAAGGAUGAUUAUUUAAAAUAGUGCUUCUGAAAUGGUUUAUUCAUAUGUAUACAUAUAUGAGUUUCAGGGGGUGACUUACAUCUUGUUCUUGAGAAAGAAUCAUGACCCAUGAGGAAAAGUAUAACACAGAAUAUCAUGAAGCCAGGGCUGAAUUCAAACUGCUUUAUCCCCAACUUUCUGUAAGGUCCUGGAGUACUCAUUUAAUUUUUCUGAGUUUGAAUUUCCUGUACUCAGGGAAGAAGAAUCUUGCCCCGACCACUCCAGAUGUUUCCCAUGGAAUAAAGAUGGUGAUGGGUAUAGAUGUGUUUUUAAAAAAUUGUCAGUGACAGAAAGGUAAAGGUUAGCAGCAGGACUGACACCUAAUUUUGGCCUUUACUUGGGACACCUGGGGAAGAAAGAAAUGAACCAGGAAAAUUCCCUUGCAAGCUCACGAGUAAGCAGAUUUCCUGGAAACCACAAAUAGUGUUUACUAGCAGAAGAUAAAGAACAGUCCUCAACUAUUAACUACUUUUAGCAGAAUAUACCCAGUCUGUGUCAGUGGUUUAUUGUAAACAAACCUGAAAUCUAUGAAUACAUGAGACACAGCUCACUGGAAAAUGUCACAUGGCUAUGUAAUUUGUUUGCUAAUUGCUGUGUCUUACUAUUGCUCAAGUGUGAAUCAAAAGCAAACUUGGUCCUAGGUAUUACCAGCGAUUCAUGUUGAAUCUCAUUUGCAUUGUCUUUGUGUUAUAACAGGUGCCAUCCUAGGUAAGGCAGAAAAAGGCAUAGGUGGAAAAAGGAGAUGCCCCAUAGCUGAAUUGGCUCCUCUGUUCGAGCAAAGUACAAUAUGCAGUUGUUAAACCUCACAUGGGAAGUCUGAACCAGAACAACCUUGGUGCAGGAGAAAACAAACAUUUGGAGGCAGUGUUGAUCGUCUUGACCUCUCUGAUGGAACACUGCUCGGCAGUGUCUUGCUAUUUCUGGUAAACCUUGAAUCAGAAGUAAAUUUGUUACUCAGCAUCACCAAUGGCCCAAGAUGAGUGUCUCAUUUGCAUUAUCUUUGUGCUUUCUCACGUGUCCCUCACAGACAAGGCAUUGUUUGUACAUCAUUUUCGGACAUCACUGAGGGAGUUUCUGUAAAACCCAAUCUAAUCUUUAAGAUAAAGCUUUUGUGUAUGUGUGAGAUAUAAGUACAUGAGACUUAUGCCAAAUGGCUUCUUUGGGCACAGGCCUAGGAUGCUGGGGCUUUGCUGACUCUGUGAUAAUCAAAGAAGCACCAAGUUAGAAACAGCUCCGGGGGCAGUGGGGAGGAAGACUUGGUCACAUGGUCUACCCAGUGGGUGUGGUCACCAAUGUCUGCAGGCUGUCUUUAACCCUGUAGCCAUAUUCCACCUGGUCAUUCUUUAUUUUUGGAUCUCCCUUCCCAGGAUCCCCCCCCCCCCUGCAGCCUCCAAAACAGUCUCCUCUGAGGUCUAUUAGAACAGUAGCAUCCCCCCUAUUUCCUCCCUUCCUGUCAUUGAUCUUGACUUACCUGCAGCAGGAAUGAGGAAAGCCUGGACUCCCCUCCCAAGUGCCCUGCCCCUCGGCUCCCUUUUUUCACACCUUGCCCAUUGCCAUUUGGAAAGGCAAGGGAUAGAGGCAAAGUUAGAUGCAACAAGUAGAUAUUUUUCUUAGUCUAGGUAAUGUUCUUUAGGGUAAUUAACCCAAAAAGUCAAGAAAGAAAGAUUUUAUCUUAUUGGAAUAUGCAAAGUCUCACUUUUGCAAACCCCAGACAGAAAAAGAAUUGGAGAGAACAGUGGCUCUCUUCCUUAGCUCUCUACCUUGACUGUAGAAUUUUCAAUGGUGCUUUGAAAAAAAAUCUAUUCCUGGGCCCCAUCCAGACUAGUCAAAUUAGAAUUUCUGAGUGAGGCCCAGGCAUGGGAUUUUUAAUUUGUUUUCCAGGUGAUUUUAAUGGGUAGCUGUAGUUGCAGACCACUGGGGUAGCAAUUUUGUGGCCAUUUGCUAUUGUCUUUAUGAGCAAAGUCAGGCAGUAAGAGCAUUUCAGGGCAUAAAAUGGCUCAGGUCUAAAAUGUUUUCUAUUGUAAGAUCAGCUAUGUAAAAUGAAAACCCAGUGCCAACCAGGGCAUUAAGUCAGCCCAUGUAUAAGAUAAUUUCUUCUGAAGUUUUUGGCACUAACAAGUCCUGAGAUGGUAUUUUCCAGUGAGAAUGGGCUUAAUGACCUGAGUACAUCUAUAUGCCAGAGAAAUAACCUGAUUGACUUCUCCCUUUUCAAGUUUAUCAACUUGAAGAGGAUAUUAAUAUUUUUUUCCAUUUUAACAAUGUGCCUUACAAGUGGAACAUUAUGAACAAGUGUGAGAUCCAUAUUAUUUCAGGGACAUGACCGUGCACACCUCCUUCCCACUCAUGGAGGAGCUGACACCACUAUUCUCAGGAGAAAAAUCACAGAAUUUCUAUGGUAUUCCAGAAAUUUUGAACUCUGGAGCCAACUGGAUCACAUUAAGGACCCAAGGGGGAGACAUAUUUGUACUCAAUGUCUGCACAUUAGCAAUUUCUCUCUACAUAAUUUUGCUCUUAAGGACGAUAGAAUGAGGUCCACUUUAAUUAAAUGCAUAAGGAACACCAAUCCACUUUGAAAGGCACCACUAAUCCACUUACUGGUCGCCAAGUUAUGCAGAUACUAAUGAGACUUUCAAGAGAACAGGCAUAAGAGGAAGACAAUUUACAGGAAAUAUGCUUGGAACAGGUGCUCUAUUGUAUAUAUUCCUCAUGGUCAAUGGCUACCAAGCAACGCCGAAGUUAGUUCAUUGUGCCCUGCCUCACUUACGGCUGUGUCUUCUUUAGCGGGUUAUUUAUGUAAUAGAAGCAGAAUCUGGUAAGUAAAGUAAGAAAUUGUGGAUCUGUUUACAAUUUGGUUUCCGUGCUCAAUUGCACAUCAGUUUGGUCUGCAGUUAAUAAACUUUUAUGUAUGUAUUCCAA